rnacentral:lncRNA from 1 species
CAGAACCUAGCCCCAUGAUGGAGCAUCUCAGACCUAAGCCCACCAAAAUCCUGCAAAAGAAAAACUCUUUAAGGAAUGGAGAACGCGAUAUUUGGAAGGCCUGUGCCAAAGCUCACCGCGAAGUGAAGUUGGCGGACUUCCUCGAAGGCCGAGCACACCCCCAUUAAUUUAGUCCCCUCUGCCAUAGAAGAAUCAAUCCUGGUCAAAGCGUGAUCGCUCGGAGGAACCUCCUCUCCAGGAUCGGAGACUUCGAGUACAGAAGGCUCGGACGAUGUUUCUUCCUCAAAGACUCGACUCUGUUUCGCCCUGCUGUGAGCGCCAUCGCACUACAAAUGCAUAUCCCAUUUAUCAUUGUCAUCCUUUAGCUCGAAAGCUGGCAACCCCUCCCCUUCUCCGAAAGAGCACAGCCUCACCCUUGGAGACCCUCCGAUACCUACAACGGCAAAAUUAAUACAUUACAAAGGGGAAAAUGUCUUCCCAAUUGUGCGAGGGACAAGGUAAAAGCGGCAUACACACAUACCAUGAUACUUUGCUUCCCAUCUGCCCCGGGACAUGGCUCGCCACCUACGCUUGUCACAGAUCGAAUGGGUCGCCAACUUCGAGACCUAGCCAGGCAGAUAAGGAACUUUGCCCGGCGCCCAUGAAAUUGCUACAGGAAAGGAGGAAACACGAUUAAUAAACUAGCUUUCGCCAUGAGCAAAUCUGAGAAAGCACGAGGCGCUCCACUCACGCGUAUAAUUCCAUUCCUCGAGGAAUGGCAUAAGUUCCACAAGGAUAACGUCAGUCGUCUGGACCCGGACGAAUCGACUAGCCCACUCUCGAUCUCUAUCUUCCUCGUCAUUAGCAACAAAGGGCAUGGACGAACGACACCACAAGGUUAGCAGACCUCGAUGAUGAAAGGGCCAGUACAACCUGACAAGGUGACCGAGCGUGAAUUCAAGCCUCGCCUUCUCUGCAAAGAACCUCAUCAUCAGCACUAUUCACCAAAACGACAGAUGUAUCUGCGCCAAAGUAACCCGAUACAUUAAAUAGAAAUCAAGCACGACCCUAUAAAGGGGCCUAAUGUGAAAGGGUACAAGUACACGUUCAGGAAUCCAUCGGCAAGGUCCGUGAUACCCUCAUUCGGGGGAAGCGCUUGCAACGCUACCCUCUCACCCCAUCCAUAGUCUCUCCUUACUAGCUCUAGGUGCUCCUCUCUUAUCGAAGACAUAGUCUUCAAAGUAAACUCCCGUGGAUCCUGAGCACUAGGAGUAGAACUCUCCCCUCUCUACCGGGCAGACCCUAAAGUAGCAGUCAUGGCUAUAGUGGAACUAGCAAAUUGAAGCAGGAACCUACACAAACGCUUUGGAGCUAAGGUAGCGAAGGACUCGAUGCCGAAACGGAAGGAUAGCUAUCUAAGAUAAUGGGAUCUCCCAAGAAGCGGGAGCAACCCCAUAUAUAUAUGGGGAAACAACAACGGUCCGCCUACCCAAGUUAGGCCCAGGAGGGCAACGACUUCAAUACGGGUUCCGAGGUCGUACCCGACCUCGAGGACCUCCAUCGAAAAGAAGUAAGGCUUCAAAAAACCAGCCACAUCAUCUCCAGUUCCGAGGUGGUACCCCACCUUGAGUUUUCCUCUCAAGGAGAAAAGUAAGCACUUCGAGCUCCUUAAAAGGUUAUCUACAUCAAAUUCAAAGUAAAUCUCCAAUUGCUUGAAGUUGCCCUUCACUCAGAGGCCGCUCUCAAAAUUUCGAGGUUCGAUGCUCUAUCUCCACGAGACUCGAGGCUCCCAAUGACCUAAUCCUAUCAAACCACUUCAGGCUUGGUCCUAGAAAUAGUAGUAGGCUCGGAAAGGAGCCAUAUAUCAACUAAAGACCAGAAGGAAUGCUUGCACCGAAUUAGAUAUUGAUGAUCGUCAACAGAAGUAAACGUACAGAAUCCCCGCAAGUGCACAAAAGUAUACAAGAAUAUGACAAGUAUCAAAGGUAGAAGUCAAGAAAACAUCUUUGUAUUUAUAAACAUUUAUAUACAACGGCCCUCGAGAGGUCCUUACAUAUGAUUACAAAAGCCCGCAAAGGGUCUAUGCACAGAAAAAAAAGAAGCAAAGAGGUGCACGCAUAUAGUGAAAGCCGAAGGACCUAGUCUACCGUCUAAAGUUCAUCUCCGAGCGCUACCUCCUCGAGCUCGCAUUCUCAAAGGCAACUCCUACGGCCGCCACCUCCUCUAGGUUCCUAGCUCGAUCCCUUGGAAUAACAUCGCCGAGGGAGAAGAUGAAGAAGAGACAAGGAGGAGGAUGCAGAAGAGGCAGAGAAAACAGACAUAACCCUCCGAAGCCAAAGGUUGAAGAUUCGGCAGACCCCAGCCUCAAUGACCAGUUGUGCCAUUUUAUCCCUUGGGAGAAAAAACCCAAGGGAUGAAGUGCCACACCAGUCCAGGGUAGGAGAGUGAGCAGCGGUAUAUAGUCUGAAUACUCUACCGAGCAACGGUGUAGAGUCCAAACGCCCUUUUAGAUCAGAGGUCGACAGUCGCCCCUAUAUCAUUAUCUCGAGCCAAUAAGGACAGUAGUAGCAAGUGUCACACCUACUUUUUUACCACCCAAGAGGAGAUACAAGGGAGCUUUUCCAAUUAAAGUGACAUUAAUCGAAAUGGGAUUAAUUUAUUUAUCAGAGUCGCCACUUGGAAUAGUUUAUUUGGUGUUCCAAGUCACCAAUUUAUUUUAAAAAUCCCAAUCGAGGAAAAUCAGUUUUAUUUAAAUGUCUGCGAAACCAAAAAUUCUAAGUAAGGAAUUCUGUUAAUCCGGGAAAAGGUGUUAGACAUUCUUGGGUUCCGUGGUUCUAGCGUGGUCGCUUAAACCAUUGAAAUUGGUCUAUUAUCCGAUUUAUUACAUGUUUUAGCCUAUGAUGCCUUUUUAGCUUUAGAACCACUUUUAAUUAAUUUAAACCGCUUUUAGGAUUUAUGGAUUUAUUUAUUUUGAACAACUUACGAUUGUAGUACACUUGUUUGUUUUGGAACAAGUCGCAAACUACGCUACAUGAAAUGCACCCGUGAUUCGCGACAUGUUUUAUUAAACAUUGUUGAGAACUGAAAUUGGGUCACAUAAAAUGUACACCCGGAUUUUGUAAUUAAAAAUCACAACUACAUUACGGGAACCAUACCCGUAGCUAUGAUGAAUUAUUUAAAUAACGUGCCCAUAGAAACUACGAAGAUUCAAUUUUCAAUAACAACAUUUGUGAGGGCAAUGGAUGAUUUAAUUUAUUUAUGACACACCUCAAACCUCUUUCUAUAAGUGUUAGUUCCUGAAUCUAAUCUUAUGAGGGCCAUGGAUUAUAAAUUUUUUUUGGCAUGGCACGUCUCAAAUUAUUUCAAAGGGUUUUAUUAUUCGAAAUUGUUAUAAUCGGGUCACAUGAAAUGUACCCCAAAUUUGGGAAUUAGGUAUCAUGACUAUGUCACAGGAACCGUACCCAUAAUCAUGAUGAUUAUUAUUAAUCGCGCCAAAAGCAACUAACGCGUUUGAAUUAUUUAUCUUUACAUUGAGAUUAUUAUUCAAGAAAACCCAUUGAGACAACAGAAAGAUCUAUCAAAUUUCCUUUCAAAGGAAUUCAAGCAAAUCAGAUUUCACAAAAACCAAAGAAUCCAUUCUAAUUACGAAGACGGGUUGCAAGAACUGAAUCAAAAUUCAUGUAAAUCAUAUGGAGAAAUGGAGAUACACACAUGAAUGCAGCUUACCAAUCAAUUUCGCCGGAGAAAUAAGAAGCUAGGAGUUCAUAUCAUAAAACGUAAUAAACUACAUCUGAAAAGUACUAAUACCAUGAUUCCAAUUAUACAUAUAACUUCCGGAUGAAUUACUGAUGCCCUUAAAGCUCUUUUGGCUAUAUUCACUAAUCUCCUUUGGUCUCUAUUACCAAUGAUAGAAAAAAACGAAACAGAAGCUUAAGCAUUCAACUAAUUUGAACCAUUUUUAUCAAACAAAUAUUCAGGAAUUAAAGAUGAACUACACAUAUAAAGGAAACUUUAAAUUAGUAGUGUUGUGCAGUUCCUUGUUUAGGCCUUUUAGCACACAGUACAGUAGUAGAAAAGGGUUCCAUUGAAGUAACAAACACUAAUCUCCCCUUUUGUUCCACUGAUAGUGAACAACUUCUUAACACGUGAAUCAUUAUUUAAACAAUGCAAAGUUCCAACAGUGAGCUAUUCUUGCCAACAAAUAACACUAAAAGAACUUAAUUCACCCGAACAAUAUUGCAAAACAAACUGGAGAUUCAAGUCAUUUUUAACAGCCAACAAAACAAUUUUGAGUAAUCAAGCACAAAUUUAACAUAGAGCAGCAGAUCACAUCUUCAUAUCAUUGAUUCAAACAGAAGGUUGGACAUGAACAUAUCUAAUUGCAUAGGAAUAACAGAAUUUUGACCGAAACGAAAAUCAAAAGGGAAAGGAUUGAUCCUAGCUCUUGUUCGAGUGAGAAGCAGCAACAGAACAUCAAAAUAGCCCAGGAAAUCACCUCAAAACCCAGGUCGGAUUCAGUCAAUUUCUAAUUAACGAGACGCCAUAGAAGAGAGGUCGGCAGACAAACAACAUCAACAACAAACAACAACAGCUCCUUUAAAUUUUCAGAAGUACCAAAUGGAGGAGCAAGGCUGAAACGCAAAGAAGCUUGAAAUCCAAAGAAAAGGUCGAAUGAGUUACCGGAAAAACCACUCGUUCGCCAAUAAAGCAGACUUCGAGCUCUAAGGAUUCAUAAGGGGUCCGAUGACUGGCCGGAUUUUUUGCAUUGACUCGUCGGAGAUGAAGCAAAAAAAAUGACGGAUGUAUAGAUUUUGGAGUAGAAGGCUCUAUUCUUGUUCUAACUCAAGGAUUAGGUGGGUUUUUAGUGAAGAAGAAGAGGCCUAGCUUAAAGGGUGUGGAGGAAAAAAUGGAGAUCAGGGGUGUUCUUUGGUUGUCAUCUGAAGAAGGAGCAGAGGCGUGAGGGUGUGAAGAAGAAAAAGUUCCGGGGGG